rnacentral:rRNA from 1 species
GACAAACGCUGGCGGUAUGCCUAACACAUGCAAGUCGAACGGACAGACCAGGGAAGCUUUUCGGAGUGGAACUGGAAAGUUAGUGGCGGAUGGGUGAGUAACGCGUGGACAACCUACCUUGUAAAGGGGAAUAACCUCGAGAAAUCGAAGCUAAUACCCCAUAAUAACCUUGCUUCGCAUGAAGUAAGGAGGAAAGGCGGCCUUAGCGCUGUCGAUACAAGAUGGGUCCGCGUCUGAUUAGCUAGUUGGUGAGGUAAAGGCUCACCAAGGCGACGAUCAGUAGCCGGCCUGAGAGGGUGAACGGCCACAUUGGGACUGAGACACGGCCCAAACUCCUACGGGAGGCAGCAGUGGGGAAUCUUCCGCAAUGGGCGAAAGCCUGACGGAGCAAUGCCGCGUGAGUGAAGAAGGCCUUCGGGUUGUAAAACUCUGUCCUUAUCGAAGAGAGAGUGUUGUAGUAACUGACAAUACUAGGACGGUAGAUGAGGAGGAAGCCCCGGCUAACUAUGUG